rnacentral:tRNA from 1 species
CAGAAAGUAGUUUAUUAAAAUAUUAAUUUUGGAGAUUAAAGAAAUUUAAUUCUUUCUGA